GGCAUGAUGGCCUGUACCCGAAACCGACACAGGUGGGGUGGUAGAGAAUACCGAGGGGCGCGAGAUAACUCUCUCUAAGGAACUCGGCAAAAUGGCCCCGUAACUUCGGGAGAAGGGGUGCCACCGCAAGGUGGUCGCAGUGAAGAGGCCCAGGCGACUGUUUACCAAAAACACAGGUCUCCGCUAAGUCGCAAGACGAUGUAUGGGGGCUGACGCCUGCCCAGUGCCGGAAGGUUAAGGAAGCUGGUCAGCGUAAGCGAAGCUAGCGACUGAAGCCCCGGUGAACGGCGGCCGUAACAAUAACGGUCCUAAGGUAGCGAAAUUCCUUGUCGGGUAAGUUCCGACCCGCACGAAAGGCGUAACGAUCUGGGCGCUGUCUCGGAGAGAGGCUCGGCGAAAUAGAAUUGUCUGUGAAGAUGCGGACUACGUGCACCUGGACAGAAAGACCCUAUGAAGCUUUACUGUAGCUUGGUAUUGUGCUCGGGCUCGGAAUGCGCAGGAUAGGUGGGAGGCUAUGAACCAUUGCUUGUGGGUGAUGGUGAGCCACUGGUGAGAUACCACUCUUUCCGAGCUAGAGUUCUAACAGCCACCCGUUAUCCGGGGGCUGGACAGUAUCAGGUGGGCAGUUUGACUGGGGCGGUCGCCUCCUAAAAGGUAACGGAGGCGCGCAAAGGUUUGCUCAGGCUGGUUGGAAAUCAGCCGACGAGUGUAAAAGCAGAAGCAAGCUUGACUGUGAGACCUACAAGUCGAACAGGGAGGAAACUCGGCUUUAGUGAUCCGACGGUUCUGCGUGGAAGGGCCGUCGCUCAACGGAUAAAAGUUACUCUAAGGAUAACAGGCUGAUCUCCCCCAAGAGUUCACAUCGACGGGGAGGUUUGGCACCUCGAUGUCGGCUCAUCGCAACCUGGGGCUGAAGUCGGUCCCAAGGGUUGGGCUGUUCGCCCAUUAAAGCGGUACGCGAGCUGGGUUCAGAACGUCGUGAGACAGUUCGGUCCAUAUCCGGUGCAUGCGCAGGAAUAUUGAGAGGAUUUCUCCCUAGUACGAGAGGACCGGGAGGAACGCACCUCUGGUGUACCAGUUAUCGUGCCAACGGUAAACGCUGGGUAGCCAUGUGCGGAGAGGAUAACCGCUGAAAGCAUCUAAGUGGGAAGCCCACCUCAAGAUGAGUAUUCCCAUGGGGUAACCCAGUAAGGUCACGGGAAGAACACCCGUUGAUAGGCUCUACGUGGAAGCGCAGUAAUGUGUGAAGCGGAGGAGUACUAAUAGACCGAGGGCUUGAU
rnacentral:rRNA from 1 species